GGACUGUGAGGAUGCAAGGGAGAGGACCAUCAAUAACGACAACAGGCGGACAGACUGUGAGGAUGCAAGGGAGAGGACCAUCAAUAAUGACAACAGGCAGACGGACUGUGAGGAGGCAAGGGAGAGGACCAUCAAUAACGACAACAGGCAGACGGACUGUGAGGAGGCAAGGGAGAGGACCAUCAAUAACGACAACAGGCGGACGCGGACAGACUGUGAGGAGGCAAGGGACAGGACCAGCAAUAACGACAACAGGCAGACAGACUGUGAGGAUGCAAGGGAGAGGACCAUCAAUAACGACAACAGGCAGACAGACUGUGAGGAGGCAAGGGAGAGGACCAUCAACAACGACAACAGGCGGACAGACUGUGAGGAGGCAAGGGACAGGACCAGCAACAACGACAACAGGCAGACAGACUGUGAGGAUGCAAGGGAGAGGACUAUUAAUAAUGACAACAGGCAUAUGGAUGGUCUCAGGCAGACCAGAACAUAUGGUCCCC
rnacentral:lncRNA from 1 species